rnacentral:rRNA from 1 species
UCGAGGGGUAUAGGUUUUCGGACCUAGAGACCGGCGCACGGGUGCGUAACGCGUAUGCAAUCUACCUUUUACAGAGGGAUAGCCCAGAGAAAUUUGGAUUAAUACCUCAUAGUAUUAUUGAAUGGCAUCAUUUAAUAAUUAAAGUCACAACGGUAAAAGAUGAGCAUGCGUCCCAUUAGCUAGUUGGUAAGGUAACGGCUUACCAAGGCAACGAUGGGUAGGGGUCCUGAGAGGGAGAUCCCCCACACUGGUACUGAGACACGGACCAGACUCCUACGGGAGGCAGCAGUGAGGAAUAUUGGUCAAUGGGCGCAAGCCUGAACCAGCCAUGCCGCGUGCAGGAUGAAGCAUCUAUGGUGUGUAAACUGCUUUUGUACGAGAAGAAACACUCCUACGUGUAGGAGCUUGACGGUAUCGUAAGAAUAAGGACCGGCUAACUCCGUGCCAGCAGCCGCGGUAAUACGGAGGGUCCAAGCGUUAUCCGGAAUCAUUGGGUUUAAAGGGUCCGUAGGCGGUUUUGUAAGUCAGUGGUGAAAGCCCAUCGCUCAACGGUGGAACGGCCAUUGAUACUGCAAGACUUGAAUUAUUGGGAAGUAACUAGAAUAUGUAGUGUAGCGGUGAAAUGCUUAGAGAUUACAUGGAAUACCAAUUGCGAAGGCAGGUUACUACCAAUAUAUUGACGCUGAUGGACGAAAGCGUGGGGAGCGAACAGGAUUAGAUACCCUGGUAGUCCACGCCGUAAACGAUGGAUACUAGCUGUUCGGAGCAAUCUGAGUGG